AGUGAACGCUGGCGGUAGGCCUAACACAUGCAAGUCGAACGGCAGCACAGUAAGAGCUUGCUCUUACGGGUGGCGAGUGGCGGACGGGUGAGGAAUACAUCGGAAUCUACUUUUUCGUGGGGGAUAACGUAGGGAAACUUACGCUAAUACCGCAUACGACCUACGGGUGAAAGCAGGGGAUCUUCGGACCUUGCGCGAUUGAAUGAGCCGAUGUCGGAUUAGCUAGUUGGCGGGGUAAAGGCCCACCAAGGCGACGAUCCGUAGCUGGUCUGAGAGGAUGAUCGGCCACACUGGAACUGAGACACGGUCCAGACGCCUACGGGAGGCAGCAGUGGGGAAUAUUGGAGAAUGGGCGGAAGCCUGAUCCAGCCAUACCGCGUGGGUGAAGAAGGCCUUCGGGUUGUAAAGCCCUUUUGUUGGGAAAGAAAAGCAGCAGGUUAAUACCCCGCUGUUCUGACGGUACCCAAAGAAUAAGCACCGGCUAACUUCGUG
rnacentral:rRNA from 1 species